rnacentral:lncRNA from 1 species
GAAUUCACUUCACAUAUGACCGAUCUCACACUUCGGUAACGAUAAAUAUGCAUUACUUUAUUUUGUUCAAGUGUUGAGUUCGGAUUAUAUUAUCAUUGUUCUUAACUGUUAUAUAGUUUGCUUAAUUAUUGACUAACGGUUUAAAAUAAGAGGCACUUGCACAGUUUUCAAGUUGAUUGAUGAUCCAUUAUUGACAAGAAAUGUCCACACAGAAGUAAUAAGGCAUGAAGUUGAUAUUUCAUUAAAUAUUAACUGUUUACAUAAA